CCUACGGGUGGCAGCAGUGGGGGAUAUUGCACAAUGGGGGAAACCCUGAUGCAGCGACGCCGCGUGGGUGAAGAAGCGCCUCGGCGCGUAAAGCCCUGUCAGCAGGGAAGAAAAUGACGGUACCUGAAGAAGAAGCCCCGGCUGACUACGUGCCAGCAGCCGCGGUAAUACGGAGGGGGCAAGCGUUAGCCGGAUUUACUGGGGGUAAAGGGGGCGCAGACGGCGGUGCAAGCCAGGAGUGAAAGCCCGGGGCCCAACCCCGGGACUGCUCGUGGAACUGCGUGGCUAGAGUGCAGGAGGGGCAGGCGGAAUUCCUGGUGUAGCGGUGAAAUGCGUAGAUAUCAGGAGGAAUACCAGUGGCGAAGGCGGCCUGCUGGACUGCAACUGACGUUGAGGCCCGAAAGCGUGGGGAGCAAACAGGAUUAGAUACCCCAGUAGUC
rnacentral:rRNA from 1 species